rnacentral:rRNA from 1 species
AAUGCGACUUCGGUCAGAUGACUUUUGAACUUAGUGGCGGACGGGUGAGUAACGCGUGAGCAACCUGCCUUUCUAGGGGGAUAACAUUUGGAAACAGAUGCUAAUACCGCAUAAGAUUACAGUACCGCAUGAUACAGUGAUCAAAGGAGCAAUCCGCUGAAAGAUGGGCUCGCGUCCGAUUAGAUAGUUGGUGAGGUAACGGCUCACCAAGUCGACGAUCGGUAGCCGGACUGAGAGGUUGAACGGCCACAUUGGGACUGAGACACGGCCCAGACUCCUACGGGAGGCAGCAGUGGGGAAUAUUGCACAAUGGGCGAAAGCCUGAUGCAGCAACGCCGCGUGAGGGAAGACGGUUUUCGGAUUGUAAACCUCUGUUUUCGGUGACGAACAAAUGACGGUAACCGAGUAGGAAGCCACGGCUAACUACGUGCCAGCAGCCGCGGUAAUACGUAGGUGGCAAGCGUUAUCCGGAUUUAUUGGGUUUAAAGGGAGCGUAGGCGGGCUUUUAAGUCAGUUGUGAAAGUUUGCGGCUCAACCGUAAAAUUGCAGUUGAUACUGGAAGCCUUGAGUACAGUAUAGGCAGGCGGAAUUCGUGGUGUAGCGGUGAAAUGCUUAGAUAUCACGAAGAACUCCGAUUGCGAAGGCAGCUUGCUGGACUGUAACUGACGCUGAUGCUCGAAAGUGUGGGUAUCAAACAGGAUUAGAUACCCUGGUAGUCCACACAGUAAACGAUGGACACUCGCUGUUGGCGAUAUACGGUCAGCGGCUUAGCGAAAGCGUUAAGUGUCCCACCUGGGGAGUACGCCGGCACGGUGAAACUCAAGGAAUUGACGGGGGCCCG